AUGAGUUACACACAGAAAGAACCCAAAGAGGACAUGGCAACAGAAAAACUCAGGAAAGAAGAAACUCUCGCAAUGAGGAGGAGACUGAUCGGGCAGUCAUGUAGACUCUUUUAUUCAGAUGACCCCGUGAAAAUAGUACGAGCAAGGGGACAAUAUCUAUUCGAUGAAAAUGGCAAGCGCUAUCUGGACUGCAUCAGUAACGUUCAUCAUGUGGGCCAUUGUCACCCCAGUAUAACAAAGGCUGCAGCAGCACAAAUGGACCUCCUGAACACAAACACACGAUUCCUGCACGACAACAUAAUCCUGUAUGCAGACCGCCUGUCUGCCACCCUGCCUGAGAAAUUGUCUGUCUUCUACUUUGUUAACUCUGGUUCAGAGGCCAAUGAUCUCGCACUACGCUUGGCCCAGCAGUACACCCAACAUGAGGACGUCAUCGUGCUCGACCAUGCUUACCAUGGACAUCUAAUGUCCCUCAUCGACAUUAGUCCUUACAAGUUCCGGAAACUGGCAGGACAGAAAGAAUGGGUUCAUGUGGCACCUUUACCAGACACCUACAGAGGCAUAUACAGAGAGGACCAUCCAAACCCAGGCCAAGCGUAUGCUGAUACAGUCAAAGACCUCAUAGAUGAGGUGCACAGGAAAGGUCGAAAGAUCUCUGCCUUCUUUGCUGAAUCAUUGCCAAGUGUCGGAGGACAGAUUCUCUUGCCCCAAGGGUACUCAGCUAAAGUUGCAGAAUAUGUGCGCUCAGCUGGUGGGGUGUUUGUGGCAGAUGAGGUGCAAACAGGCUUUGGACGUGUGGGAAGUCACUUCUGGGCUUUCCAGCUGCAGGGGGACGGUUUCUGUCCGGACAUAGUGACCAUGGGCAAACCAAUGGGCAAUGGACAUCCCCUGGCAUGUGUGGCAACCACAGCAGAGAUAGCUGGAGCUUUCACAGCCAACGGAGUGGAGUACUUUAACACAUUUGGAGGGAAUCCAGUGUCCUGUGCAAUCGGUCUGGCUGUCCUUGAUGUGAUGGAGCAAGAGGACCUAAGAGGAAAUGCCAAAAGGGUGGGAGCACAUCUGAAAGAUUUGCUCUCAAAGCUAAAAACAAGACAUCAAAUAAUUGGAGAAGUUCGAGGUGUGGGACUGUUUGUGGGUCUUGAGCUGGUGAAAGACAGAGAGCAGAGGACUCCUGCCACAGAAACAGCAGCAUGGCUGGUGAAGAGGUUGAAAGAGGAGGAUCGAAUCUGUGUCAGUACCGAUGGCCCCUGGGAAAAUGUUGUGAAGUUUAAACCUCCUAUGUGCUUCAGCAUGGAGGACGCAGAGCUGGUGGUACGCUGUAUUGACCGCAUCCUCACAGACAUGGAAGCCAAUGACCUUUAAACUGGAAAAGGAAGACAUCUAAAGGUGUUCAGUGCCAAUUCACUGUCAUAUUGGAAGAAUGAGGAGACACAAGCAGUCACCUUUCUAAUGAUACCCAGCCAAUUGGAGGGAGGUCAGAGGUCAACAGCAACUUCGAGGUGAGACGAAUUUAUGAACACAUUGAGCAGGAUGCAUCAAAUCUGGAGACUUUUCCACUAAUGUCUGUACUGUAUUUAUUUAAAUGCAGCUUUGGUUCAGUUUUAUAGGGGCUCAUACAUGGAGCAGGGCAGUUAUUUCACUUGUAGUACCUACAAUUAUGAUGUAUUGGCCUCUGAUUGUAAUUUUUUGCUCAUUUGUGUAGAGACAUAUCAAAGGGAAUGAAUAUCUUUAACUUAAAGGACCAGAUUUUCUGGUGUUGUCCCAUUUAUAAUUUGCACCUCUAACCAAAUUCAUUUGUCACUGGAGGCUUUGAUGACUUUUCUAAGUAAUUACAUGCCUAUGUGUUAUGUCAUUGUAUUUUCUGUUCACAGAGUACGGGGUAGUGUUGGUUGAAUAAUUUAUUAAUGUUAAAUGAAUGUAUACUUCAUAAAUAAUUCUGUGAUUAUGAUUCAAUGAACAAGAAACCAUAAAACUGGAGAGUUUAUUUCAGUCUGCAUGUUUAGUUCACCAAAUUUCACGUUAUACAUAUUUAGACAAGUAAUUACAAAAAUAGCUUAAUUCUUUUACAACCAAAUACACAACCAAAACAACAUUCUCACAAAGUCAAGCUAAUACUGCGAUAUAUAAUUUGCUUAAACACCAAACCGUAUGCAGACACUGUGCCGUGUGCUGACUCCAUUAAGCCUUAAAACUGAAACUGAUAGAAUCUGCAAAAGAAAUAAACACAUGUAAUAAUGUUAAGUGACAGAUAACCAUCAGCUUGCAGUGAAAAUGCCAAGGACAGUGUGGUUUAGAGUUAAACCAUUCUGCUUUAUCGUUUCUCAUUCGACAUUGUUUAUCAUGUCUUUCAAAUAAAGUUUUGUAUUUUUGCUAUUCUACCUUAGCUUAUUGAUAUGGAUCUCAUUUACAGAAAACAUUUCUAGAAUAACUUUAACUUCAUAAAUCAAUGAUACUGUACAGGUAUAUUUGUUGCGCUGACCCUGCUAACAUAAAAAAAUAAAAUAAAUUAGUGGGACUUUACAUCAAAUUCAUCCUUAUAAUAUGAAAAUUGUUUUGUGUGAAGUCAGUAAUGCAACUUUGGCAUUUCGCAAGUACUGUAUAUGUAAACUGACCCUUGCAAAAAUAAAGCUGAUAAGACGUUACGUUACACACCGACUUUGCUCUAAUUUCAGACCUAAACAGGAACCACCAGUGGAGGGAUAUGUGACCUACAUCAUGACUACUGUACUAUAACAUUAGGCAGUUUACAGAUCAGCUGGUGGACAUUUUUAAUUAAGAGUUAUUAAGAGAUAAAUGUGUAAGUGAAAUGCAGCUCUCCUACACUGUCAUUUGAACAAAUUACCUAACUGGAAUCGCAGAUGAAGCAAGAAUUUAAAUCAUGUAAAAAGAUCCGGCACAUGUAAAUACACCACUGAUUAGCUCAAAACGCCAUUUGGAAACUGUCAUUGUCACUUUUUCACACCUCACAUAUCCAUUCAUGUCCAUGUGUUUAAAAUGGAGAUCAUGUCUAAAAACAUACUUAAAAAGAACAAACUCAAACAUAUAUUGUAUAUUGUAUAUAACGCUUAUAUUGACCCUGUUUGGAUUUGCAAAAGUUGCAGUGUUGGUGGUUGUGGGAGAGAAAUGGAAUUAGAAAUGUUUAGCAGCCUGUAUGUGGAUGGUGACAAAAUAUAAUUUACCAAUUAAACAUCAAACAAUUAAAAUGUUGUAAAUGAUAGCUGUCUUGUCUGGUGGAUAACUUGAACAUGUAUGCUGCCUUACAAAAAUAUAACAACUGAAUAUGAUUAAUAUUGUAUCAAAAAGUGCAACUAAUAUUAAUGUAGAAUAUA